rnacentral:rRNA from 1 species
CCUACGGGAGGCAGCAGUGAGGAAUAUUGGUCAAUGGACGAGAGUCUGAACCAGCCAAGUAGCGUGAAGGAUGACUGCCCUAUGGGUUGUAAACUUCUUUUAUAUGGGAAUAAAAUGUUCCACGUGUGGGAUUUUGUAUGUACCAUAUGAAUAAGGAUCGGCUAACUCCGUGCCAGCAGCCGCGGUAAUACGGAGGAUCCGAGCGUUAUCCGGAUUUAUUGGGUUUAAAGGGAGCGUAGGUGGAUUGUUAAGUCAGUUGUGAAAGUUUGCGGCUCAACCGUAAAAUUGCAGUUGAAACUGGCAGUCUUGAGUACAGUAGAGGUGGGCGGAAUUCGUGGUGUAGCGGUGAAAUGCUUAGAGAUCACGAAGAACUCCGAUUGCGAAGGCAGUUCACUGGACUGCAACUGACGCUGAGGCUCGAAAGUGUGGGUAUCAAACAGGAUUAGAUACCCCGGUAGUC